rnacentral:rRNA from 1 species
GCGUGAGUGAUGAAGGCCUUAGGGUUGUAAAGCUCUUUUGCCAGGGACGAUGAUGACGGUACCUGGAGAAUAAGCCCCGGCUAACUUCGUGCCAGCAGCCGCGGUAAUACGAAGGGGGCGAGCGUUGUUCGGAAUUACUGGGCGUAAAGGGCGCGUAGGCGGCCGCUCAAGUUAGAUGUGAAAGUCCUGGGCUUAACCUGGGGACUGCAUUUAAUACUGGGUGGCUUGAAUUCGGGAGAGGAUAGCGGAAUUCCCAGUGUAGAGGUGAAAUUCGU